rnacentral:rRNA from 1 species
UUUUUAGGGGAAGGUGUGGUGUAAAGGAUGUUCCGCCUAUUAUUUUACUUUUAUUAUGUUGGUGUAUAUCUGAUUUAAUAUUAUUGCUUAAUGGUUAAAGUUUGUGUAUAUUUAUUUAAGUCAAGUCUAUGUGCUGCUUAUAAAAGUAUUCAUGCGUUACUUUAAUAAUAUGUUAGAUGAAAUAUUAAUUGAUUUAGGACUUAAUAGUAAUGUUUAAUUAGUUUGUAAAUGUGAAUAUAGUUUAGCUCAU